GCUCCUGUGGUCAUCAAUCAAUCAUUCACUCCUGUGAUGGCAGGCUUCUUGGCCACCGGUACGAUGACUCAUGAGAGCCCAUAAUCUUAACAUAAUCUUACUACCACUAGAGAUUGUGUUGGUGAAAAUCCAAAAUCCAUAUCCUCAUUAGAGACCAUAAACUUAACAUCAUUGGUUUUUGAAAGACCUGGUUAAAAGUAAAUGUUUUUACGACUAAAUGAGACCUCUCCUCCAAACUUUGUCUGCUGCAUGUCCUCGCACAAAAGGCUGUAUCUCUUGUUUCCAAAUCUGCUCACAAACCUUGCCCUCACUAUCACAAAACCUUGAAAAUAUUUGAAGUUCUUGGUAUGCAAUCCACAGCAUUCUUGCUGUUUUAUCUUAGUUAUUAACUGUCCCUCCUAGGUGGCGGGCCGACGCUCGCUAGAGGCUUUCGUUAGUGAAAUGAUUGAUCUGGUUGUAGGGAGGAUGUGAUAUUUUAAUAUGACCUACAUAGAUUUUAUAUUAACACAUUUCUGAUUGUUGGGAGCUGUUUUUUGGUCAUCGUUUUAUGAAAAUCAAUGUUUGAUUGCGAAACGCAACAGGCACUGCUGCAAAGGGAUCCUUGCUGCAGAACCAAUCAAAAGUCGUAACAACGUCACGUGACUUGAUGUCUCCCAAUGGCAUUCCUCCAACUCAGGAUCUAGGAAGUAAAUAUUGCCUCCGCUCUAUUGACAACAAUGGACUUUGUUCGCACUUGGAGCAGUACACAAGUUCCAGGAUUCCGACUGGGGCUGAA